UGGGGAAUAUUGCACAAUGGGGGAAACCCUGAUGCAGCGACGCCGCGUGAGCGAAGAAGGCUUUCGAGUCGUAAAGCUCUGUCCUAUGAGAAGAUAAUGACGGUAUCAUAGGAGGAAGCCCUGGCUAAAUACGUGCCAGCAGCCGCGGUAAUACGUAUGGGGCGAGCGUUGUCCGGAAUUAUUGGGCGUAAAGGGUACGUAGGUGGUUUUUUAAGUCAGGUGUCAAAGCGUGGAGCUUAACUCCAUUAAGCACUUGAAACUGAAAGACUUGAGUGAAGGAGAGGAAAGUGGAAUUCCUAGUGUAGCGGUGAAAUGCGUAGAUAUUAGGAGGAAUACCGGUGGCGAAGGCGACUUACUGGACACAAAUCUGACGCUGAGGAACGAAAGCGUGGGUAGCAAACAGG
rnacentral:rRNA from 1 species